UGGUGGCGACCGGCGCACGGGUGCGUAACGCGUAUGCAACCUACCUUUAACAGGGGGAUAACACUGAGAAAUUGGUACUAAUACCCCAUAAUAUCAUAGAAGGCAUCUUUUAUGGUUGAAAAUUCCGAUGGUUAGAGAUGGGCAUGCGUUGUAUUAGCUAGUUGGUGGGGUAACGGCUCACCAAGGCGACGAUACAUAGGGGGACUGAGAGGUUAACCCCCCACACUGGUACUGAGACACGGACCGG
rnacentral:rRNA from 1 species